rnacentral:rRNA from 1 species
UACGGAGGGGGCCAGCGUUGCUCGGAAUUAUUGGGCGUAAAGGGCGCGUAGGCGGCUUGGUAAGUUUGAUGUGAAAUCCCAUGGCUCAACCAUGGAACUGCAUCUCAUACUGCCGAGCUAGAGUCUGGGAGAGGGAAGCGGAAUUCCCGGUGUAGCGGUGAAACGCGUAGAUAUCGGAAGGAACAUCAGUGGCGAAGGCGACUUCCUGGACCAAUACUGACGCUCAUGUGCGAAAGCGUGGGGAGCAAACAGG